CGGGGAAACUCGAGCUAAUACCGCAUAACAUCUAAGGAUCAAAGUGGGGGAUCUUCGGACCUCACGCCAGAAGAGGAGCCUGCGUUGGAUUAGCUAGUUGGUGGGGUAAUGGCCUACCAAGGCGACGAUCUAUAGCUGGUCUGAGAGGACGAUCAGCCACACUGGAACUGAGACACGGUCCAGACUUCUACGGAAGGCAGCAGUCGGGAAUCUUGGGCAAUGGGCGAAAGCCUGACCCAGCCAUGCCGCGUGUGCGAAGAAGGCCUUAGGGUUGUAAAGCACUUUCAGUCGCGAAGAAAAGCUCGAAGUUAAUAACUUCGAGUCUUGACGUUAACGACAGAAGAAGAUCCGGCUAACUCCGUG
rnacentral:rRNA from 1 species